CCUACGGGCGGCAGCAGUGGGGGAUAUUGCACAAUGGGGGAAACCCUGAUGCAGCGACGCCGCGUGUGGGAAGACGGUCCUCUGGAUUGUAAACCACUGUCCCCAGGGACGAAGAUGACGGUACCUGGGGAGGAAGCUUCGGCUAACUACGUGCCAGCAGCCGCGGUAAUACGUAGGGCGCGAGCGGUGUCCGUAAUUACUGGGUGAAAAGGGAGCGUAGGCGGGGAUGGAAGUUGGGUGUCAAAACUACCGGCUAAACUGGUAGUCGCACCCAAAACUGGAGAUCUUGAGUGAAGUAGAGGCAGGCGGAAUUCCUGGUGUAGCGGUGAAAUGCGUAGAUAUUAGGAGGAACACCAGUGGCGAAGGCGGCCUGCUGGGCUUUUACUGACGCUGAGGCUCGAAAGUGUGGGGAGCAAACAGGAUUAGAUACCCUUGUAGUC
rnacentral:rRNA from 1 species